UUUCUCCCCUUUUCAGUGGUCAGAUGUCAAUAUCCAGUAGUUGAACAUGGAAAACUGGUAUCAGGAAUCAGAGACAAAUAUUCCUACCAAGCAGUGGUUCUAUUCGAAUGCCUCCCAGGCUUCUAUCUUAAUGGCAGCAACCCAGUGUUCUGUGGUGGGAGAAGUACUUGGGAGCCUGAGAUGCCAAAAUGUAUCAGAGGUUUCAAGCCUACUCAUCCACCCAAACCUCCAGUUUCAAAGUAUCCAGGCUAUCCCGAGCCCAACGACCCAAUAUCACUUGAAGACUUUGAGGAAUUAGGUAUUAUUUUGGCUACUAAUUACUCUGCAUUAUGAGGCCUUGGAGUUCUACACGGACAUAUCUAUCAUGUUCCAAUCAUUCGUAGUUAAGGAAGGAACGAAGUUUCACAAAAUUUGACAUUUAUAGUUUCCAUUUUAGUAGUCCAGAUAAUAUGAUAAACGUAGGUGGUGCUGUGUAUGGAGACCUGUAGGUAAUUUCCUCUAAUCUAGGGAAUUCUGAUAGUCCUGGUAAGCUUUACUAAACAACCUGAUGCAGUCCCAACAGCACAGAACAAUGAACAGUCAGGUUCCAGUGAAAAGAGUUUUACAAGAUGGCUGCUAACCCUGGGAUCUGAUUAGAAGGGAACCGCAAUCAGAGCGAGCUGGACGCGCUAGCGCUCCCGCUGAAACUAGACAAGGAGCAGCUGCUUUGCCGUACGGUGUAGAUGAUCUGGUCAAACUGAACUGCAGCUAUCCUCUGGGAACCUUAUGUGCUCAGUCUUCAAACUGUUUUCAUUGUUCCUCAGAUGCAGGCAUCAUUGCUGUGAUUGUUCUUACCAUUCGUAAGUAGCCCAAACGUGGAUGCCACUUAAAUCAAAAUAUGACUGCAAAGGCGUGCAUUAUUUUUUAAAUGACGUUUCAGCUUCUGUAGUUUAUAUAGCUUGACACGCAGUCCACCAGUCUAGAGCAGCUUGUAUAUGAUACACUACAUUUUACUGGUGAAUGUUCUUUUAUACUGUAUGCGUCCCCUUAGUAACAGACCCUAAAUACUACCUGUCUUCGGGAUGAGUGGUCAUGAGUCUGCGUCCCAAAGAUGCUUUGGGUAAUUUUCCAAACUAAGCAAGGAUUCUUCUCUGGCUUCCUCUGGACUGUUCGAGUGACUCCAGGGAAUGGGCUUUAGAUAGUAGAGAGUCCAGACGGAAUAUAAGUAGAUAUGUGCUUAAAUAAAAUAACAUGUUCUGACCA
rnacentral:lncRNA from 1 species